GUGUUUUGCCUUAUUGGCCAGGCUGGUCUCAAACUCCUGACCUCAUGAUCCACCUGCCUCAGCCUCCCAAAGUGCUGGGAUUAUAGGCGUGAGCCACCACACCUGGCUGGGGCUUCCUUAUAAGGGCAAUACUGUUUGUGAGGGCUCUACGCUUAUGACAUAAUUACCUUCCAAAGAACUCACCUCCAAAUACCAUCAUACUAGGGGUUAGGUUUCAGUAUGAAUUUGGAGGUGGGGGUGGACACAAAUGUUUAUAGCAGUACUCAUCCCUGUUUCGAAAAUGAGAAAUGCAGAGAAAUUAUAUAAUUUGUUCAAAGUCACAUGGUUGGUAAGUGGCAGAGCUGGGAUUUGAACCCAGGCAGUCUGGCUCCAGCAUCCAUGCUUUUAGUCAGGGUGGCUACUUCUUUGGAGCAGUGCUCCCUGCAAAGCCUGGCACAUAAGACCCCCUUAAUAUAUGAAAAGUCCCAUUCCCUCCACAUGGCUUACGAAAGCCGUGGCAAGUAGGAAUGACAGGCGAAGGGUGGGGCUUUAUUCCAUUGGUGAUUGAAAGCUACUGAAAUGCAUCAUGGGCACACAGUAGGUGCUUAAUAGUUGUCGAUUUCUAUGAGCUGGGAGUGAGAAAGAUACCAUGCUCUGUGGACUGAG
rnacentral:lncRNA from 1 species